UGUUUCCCAACCCAGUCCUCAAGGCACACCUACCAGUCCAGGAUUUAGGGAUUACCCAGUUGUGUCUAAGGUGUUUUUACAAAGAAGAAAAAAACACCUUAGACACAACUGGGUAAUCCCUAAAUCCUGGACUGGUAGGUGUGCCUUGAGGACUGGGUUGGGAAACA